AAAGUCUCCCCCUUAUCUUCCUAAUAUUUGGUGCAUUGAUGAGAAGCAAUUCCAUUUGUACCAAUCCUUUAUGUCAACUUCUUCUGCAUAUGCAUAUUGAUGAUUCAUCCAUUAUGUUAUGACCCAUCCCUUUCCCUUUGUGCAAAACCAAAACCCAAACUUAACGCAACAGCUUUUGCCUUCAACGCAACAACCUCUCUUCUCUCGUUUCUUCCCUGCAUACAUUAAUCACUUUCCCUUACCCUCCCUCUGUUUUUUCACCAUAAUCAUCUUCAUUACACCACUCUCAACAAAUAAAACGACAACGUCUCAUUAGUUGCAACAUCCCCUAACCAAAUACACCACAAUUUUCUCACUUCUCUCUGCAAAUCCCAAUUUCCUCUGUCUUUCAAACCUAACCUAACCUUAUCACACUACAUCGAUCACGUUUUAUUUCUCCUCUCCCUCCUUUCUAUAAAUUCCAUUUUUCAUUUCGAUUAAAUCACUAUCCCAAUUUCUUCUUAUUAUUGCGUUUUUUUUUUUCUAAUUCCCUUAAUUUUUUUUUUUAUCGAAAAUGAACACCAUGAGAGGACCGGAAGAUCAGCAAUCUAGGGUGUUCUGCGAGCUGUCGGCUCUGGUCUUCAACCUCCUCCGUUCUCCGCCGCUCAUGCCGGAGUCUCCGGCCAGGCGCUCAACGGCGGGGGCUCAGAUAACGCCGGCAGGGUUCGCAUCGCUGCUUCUGGGGAUUUCGGUGGCUCUCAUGCUCUGCGGAUCGGUGACUUUUUUCAUCGGGUUUAUGCUCAUGCCGUGGGUUCUCGGAUUGAUGAUGGUGUUCUACGUCGCUGCCAUUGUUUCCGCUCUCUCCGUUCUGGGGCGUUCCAUUCUCUGUUUUGCCUCGCCACGUAAGGAUGUUCCUGUGUUGUUUUCCUUAUCGCAUCUGGGAGCUCCUGGAAGAGUGAAAUUAUGAGAAUAAGAUAGACGGUCUAUGUGUAUGACCUUGGAAAGAAUCCAAUAAAAGAAAUGUUAAAUUCCUUUUCAAUCAAGGGUUGGAUCUGCAAGACUGGUUUUCUCUUAAAACAGUGAAGGAGUAUAAUAUACAAAAAUUACAUUGAAGGUAUAUUAAUGUUGCUGAGGCUGGAUAAGUUAGCAAAUUCUUCCUUUUUGUGGCCAGCGCAGCUUAUCUCUUAGAUCGUAUCACACACAUUUUGGUUGGGUUACGAGCCUGUUUUUGGUGUUUCAGAGUGGAAACUUAUGUGAAAAGAUAAAUAAUGGAGUUGACUAGUGCGAUCGUGGUUAUUGUCCCUGCCAGACAACGAAGAUUACCGAACUUCUCUCACCAGAAGCAGGAGUUUUGGAACCAGGCUUUUGUGAAAAGUACUAAACUUUGUGGAUAUGGCUUCUCUUUUUAUUACAAUCAGCCAAGUUCUGAGGAAUCAAGAAUUGAGGACUUUCUUCCUGUUAUUGCCUAUUGCUGUCAAUUAUUUUAUUUGUCCUUAUUUUCACCCUUGUAAAUUUUGAAGUAGAGGCUUCUGAAAUUCAUUUCUUUUCCAUUUCCAAACGUGGUAUAUGUACACUGUAAAAUUUGAUAUGAUGGAUGACUCAUGAAAAGAAGGUUGUCUUGUUACUACAAUCUUCUAUACAAAAAGUUGAGAAUGACUUCAUUGAAUUGGAGUUAGAAAUUUGAGUA